AUGAAACCAGAAACGUCUUCUCCGGUAUUCAGCGAAACCCCGAUUGACAUGGAUAUCAGCCAAAUAAAGGACGUGAACUGUUCCCGUGCUGCCGCUCCUGCAGAUGAAACGAUGGACCUUGAUCUGACGUCACUCGACCAUACAGCCAACGAUACAUCAGUCGAGAUAAUAGCACCUCCUGUGUCCACCAUGGAGGAUUCAUCUCUCACUCCAAGUAAUGAUGAGCUGACAGGGAUGUGAAAUCUCCGCGGAAACGCGGAAAAUCGUGUUUUUUAAAACAGUAGUUCUCGGAAAAAAUCAUCUUCCGCGGAAAAAAUUAUUAAAAAUUUAAAAAAAAA